CCUACGGGGGGCUGCAGUGGGGAAUAUUGGACAAUGGGCGAAAGCCUGAUCCAGCCAUGCCGCGUGUGUGAAGAAGGCCUUCGGGUUGUAAAGCACUUUCAGUGGGGAAGAAAGCCUUGGGGCUAAUACCCUCGAGGAAGGACAUCACCCACAGAAGAAGCACCGGCUAACUCCGUGCCAGCAGCCGCGGUAAUACGGAGGGUGCGAGCGUUAAUCGGAAUUACUGGGCGUAAAGCGCGCGUAGGCGGUCUGAUAAGCCGGUUGUGAAAGCCCCGGGCUCAACCUGGGAACGGCAUCCGGAACUGUCAGGUUAGAGUGCAGGAGAGGAAGGUAGAAUUCCCGGUGUAGCGGUGAAAUGCGUAGAGAUCGGGAGGAAUACCAGUGGCGAAGGCGGCCUUCUGGACUGACACUGACGCUGAGGUGCGAAAGCGUGGGUAGCAAACAGGAUUAGAUACCCGAGUAGUC
rnacentral:rRNA from 1 species